GAUGAACGCUGGCGGCGUGCCUAAUACAUGCAAGUCGAGCGAACGGACGAGAAGCUUGCUUCUCUGAUGUUAGCGGCGGACGGGUGAGUAACACGUGGAUAACCUACCUAUAAGACUGGGAUAACUUCGGGAAACCGGAGCUAAUACCGGAUAAUCUUUUGAACCGCAUGGUUGAAAAGUGAAAGACGGUCUUGCUGUCACUUAUAGAUGGAUCCGCGCUGCAUUAGCUAGUUGGUAAGGUAACGGCUUAUCAAGGCAACGAUGCAUAGCCGACCUGAGAGGGGGAUCGGCCACACUGGAACUGGGACACGGUCCAUACUCCUACGGGAGGCAGCAGUAGGGAAUCUUCCGCAAUGGGCGAAAGCCUGACGGAGCGACGCGGCGUGAGUGAUGGAGGUCUUCGGAUCGUAAAACUCUGUUAUUAGGGAAGAACAUAUGUGGAAGUAGCUGUGCACAGCUUGACGGUACCUAAUCAGAAAGCCACGGCUAACUACGUG
rnacentral:rRNA from 1 species